rnacentral:rRNA from 1 species
GAGUUUGAUCGUGGCUCAGAUUGAACGCUGGCGGCAGGCUUAACACAUGCAAGUCGAGCGGAGAUGAGGUGCUUGCACCUUAUCUCAGCGGCGGACGGGUGAGUAAUGCUUAGGAAUCUGCCUAUUAGUGGGGGACAACAUUCCGAAAGGAAUGCUAAUACCGCAUACGUCCUACGGGAGAAAGCAGGGGAGUCUUCGGACCUUGCGCUAAUAGAUGAGCCUAAGUCGGAUUAGCUAGUUGGUGGGGUAAAGGCCUACCAAGGCGACGAUCUGUAGCGGGUCUGAGAGGAUGAUCCGCCACACUGGGACUGAGACACGGCCCAGACUCCUACGGGAGGCAGCAGUGGGGAAUAUUGGACAAUGGGGGGAACCCUGAUCCAGCCAUGCCGCGUGUGUGAAGAAGGCCUUAUGGUUGUAAAGCACUUUAAGCGAGGAGGAGGCUACUGAGACUAAUACUCUUGGAUAGUGGACGUUACUCGCAGAAUAAGCACCGGCUAACUCUGUG